UACGUAGGGGGCAAGCGUUGUCCGGAUUUAUUGGGCGUAAAGAGCGUGUAGGCGGCCACACAGGUCAGCUGUGAAAACUCGAGGCUCAACCUCGAGACGUCGGUUGAAACCGUAUGGCUAGAGUCCGGAAGAGGAGAGUGGAAUUCCUGGUGUAGCGGUGAAAUGCGCAGAUAUCAGGAGGAACACCGAUGGCGAAGGCAGCUCGCUGGGACGGUACUGACGCUGAGGCGCGAAAGCGUGGGGAGCAAACAGG
rnacentral:rRNA from 1 species